rnacentral:rRNA from 1 species
AAGUCGAGCGGUAACAGAAAGUAGCUUGCUACUUUGCUGACGAGCGGCGGACGGGNGAGUAAUGCUUGGGAACAUGCCUUGAGGNGGGGGACAACAGUUGGAAACGACCUGCUAAUACCAGNAUAAUGUCUACGGACCAAAGGGGGCCUUCGGCUCUCGCCUUUAGAUUGGCCCAAGUGGGAUUAGCUAGUUGGUGAGGUAAUGGCUCACCAAGGCAACGAUCCCUANCUGGUUUGAGAGGAUGAUCACCCACACUGGGACUGAGACACGGCCCAGACUCCUACGGGAGGCAGCAGNGGGGAAUAUUGCACAAUGGGCGCAAGCCUGAUGCAGCCAUGCCGCGUGUGUGAANAAGGCCUUCGGGUUGUAAAGCACUUUCAGUCAGGAGGAAAGGUUAGUAGUUAAUACCUGCUAGCUGNGACGUUACUGACAGAAAAAGCACCGGCUAACUCCGUGCCAGCAGC